rnacentral:rRNA from 1 species
CGUCUGGCUGAGGGUCGGCUA